CCUACGGGAGGCAGCAGUGGGGAAUUUUGGACAAUGGGCGCAAGCCUGAUCCAGCCAUGCCGCGUGUGGGAAGAAGGCCUUCGGGUUGUAAACCACUUUUGUCAGGGAAGAAACGGCUUUUUCUAAUACAGAGAGCUAAUGACGGUACCUGAAGAAUAAGCACCGGCUAACUACGUGCCAGCAGCCGCGGUAAUACGUAGGGUGCAAGCGUUAAUCGGAAUUACUGGGCGUAAAGCGUGCGCAGGUGGCUUUGCAAAGACAGAUGUGAAAUCCCCGGGCUCAACCUGGGAACUGCAUUUGUGACUGCAUGGCUAGAGUACGGUAGAGGGGGAUGGAAUUCCGCGUGUAGCAGUGAAAUGCGUAGAUAUGCGGAGGAACACCGAUGGCGAAGGCAAUCCCCUGGACCUGUACUGACGCUCAUGCACGAAAGCGUGGGGAGCAAACAGGAUUAGAUACCCUGGUAGUCCACGCCCUAAACGAUGUCAACUGGUUGUUGGACGGCUUGCUGUUCAGUAACGAAGCUAACGCGUGAAGUUGACCGCCUGGGGAGUACGGCCGCAAGGUUGAAACUCAAANAGAGUAGAGCGNGAGAGNGCGACGGACGACGACGAGGGAGGAGG
rnacentral:rRNA from 1 species